rnacentral:rRNA from 1 species
UACGAGAGGCCCAAACGUUAUUCGGAAUUACUGGGCUUAAAGAGUUCGUAGGCGGCGCAGAAAGUAGGGUGUGAAAGCCCUCGGCUCAACCGAGGAAUUGCGCUCUAAACUACUGUGCUUGAGGAAUCUAGAGGUGAGCGGAACUGAUGGUGGAGCGGUGAAAUGCGUUGAUAUCAUCAGGAACACCGGAGGCGAAGGCGGCUCACUGGGGAUUUUCUGACGCUGAGGAGCGAAAAGUGUGGGGGAGCGAACAGGA